AUUAAGCCAUGCAUGUCUAAGUACACACGAAUUAAAAGUGAAACCGCAAAAGGCUCAUUAUAUCAGUUAUGGUUCCUUAGAUCGUUAACAGUUACUUGGAUAACUGUGGUAAUUCUAGAGCUAAUACAUGCAAUAUAAACACGGACCUUUGGGACGUGUGCUUUUAUUAGGCUAAAACCAAGCGAUCGCAAGAUCGUUAUUAUGGUUGAACUCUAGAUAACUUGCUGAUCGUAUGGUCUUGUACCGACGACAGAUCUUUCAAAUGUCUGCCCUAUCAACUUUUGAUGGUAGUAUCUAGGACUACCAUGGUUGCAACGGGUAACGGGGAAUCAGGGUUCGAUUCCGGAGAGGGAGCCUGAGAAACGGCUACCACAUCUAAGGAAGGCAGCAGGCGCGUAAAUUACCCACUCCCAGCUCGGGGAGGUAGUGACGAAAAAUAACAAUACAGGACUCAUAUUAGAGGCCCUGUAAUUGGAAUGAGUACACUUUAAAUCCUUUAACAAGGACCUAUUGGAGGGCAAGUCUGGUGCCAGCAGCCGCGGUAACUCCAGCUCCAAUAGCGUAUAUUAAAGUUGUUGCGGUUAAAACGUUCGUAGUUGAACUUGUGCUUCAUACGGGUAGUACAACUAUAAUUGUAGUUUGUACUGUACCUUAUGUAUGUAAGCGUAUUACCGGUGGAGUUCUUAUAUGUAUUAAAUACUUGUAUUUAUGCAUAUUCCUCCUAUUUAAACCUGCUUCAGUGCUCUUCAUCGAGUGUUGUUGUGGGCCGGUACAAUUACUUUGAACAAAUUAGAGUGCUUAAAGCAGGCUCCAAAUGCCUGAAUAUUUUGUGCAUGGAAUAAUGAAAUAAGACCUCUGUUCUACUUUCAUUGGUUUUUAGAUCAAGAGGUAAUGAUUAAUAGAAGCAGUUUGGGGGCAUUAGUAUUACGACGCGAGAGGUGAAAUUCUUGGACCGUCGUAAGACUAACUUAAGCGAAAGCAUUUGCCCAAGAUGUUUUCAUUAAUCAAGAACGAAAGUUAGAGGU
rnacentral:rRNA from 1 species